UCAAACUUGGUCAUUUAGAGGAAGUAAAAGUCGUAACAAGGUUUCCGUAGGUGAACCUGCGGAAGGAUCAUUACCAAAUCAACGGCCGAAAGGCCUUGCCCUAGGUCUGGGGGAACCCAGGCCGACGGUAAACCCCCUUGUGAAACCCUUCUCGUUUGCCUCGGCGGCACACCCUCCCUCUCGCGGGGGGGUGGUGGUCAGCCCGCCGACGGCACCCAACCGAAACUCUUUUUUAUUGAAUUGAAGCCGGUCUGAAUCAAUGGUCGAAUGACUAUAAAACUUUCAACAACGGAUCUCUUGGUUCCCGCAUCGAUGAAGAACGCAGC
rnacentral:misc_RNA from 1 species